rnacentral:rRNA from 1 species
GAACAAAAUCAGAGAGAGCAACAAUAUGGCAAUUAGAGUCAACAGAGACCUCCCUAGCAUUAUUAUCAGCAGUUGAUUGCUCAAUAAGAUUCGCUUUGUCUAACUCAUCAAUAGCAUGCUCUCCAUCUAUAAGUUUCUUCUCCUUCAUCAUUGUCCUCAUCCAGCGGACCAAAAGCACCCACUUAUUCAAACCCUUCAACAGUGGAACCAACCAGGAACAAUUUCUUCUUCAUCUCAACAAGUCUUUCAAAAGGAAUUGCAAGUUACAAUCUGGCGCUGAAAACUACGAACUGCCUUUAAUGAUUUGGAGAAACAGAAUAAUACAGGGUAAAGAAAGUUGUUACAAAACCAAGUAAAAGAGGUAGCAUCAUCUUUCUUCUGAACCGGAAUGAACUGUUGUUACAAGGAUCUGCUGCUCCAAACUUACAUUACAUGGUCUAACGACACAGAUCGCAUCCAUAUAUAUUUCGCUAUGUACAGUACAAACUUCGCAUACACAGCAGCAAACUGGCCAUUACAAACAAAAGCGGUGAAGAAAGAACGCGGCAAACUGAAGGAGCAUGCAGCAACUAGUGUACAGUCCGGCCGGUCCGCCACCGCCCACGGGCACGCGGGAAGCCGGCCGGCGGGAAACCUGGCCGAUCUCAUCUCACUUGGGCCCCCAGAGCAGCAGGUGCAUCACCUUGGCCGUCUUGCCGUUGCCGUGGCCGACGCCGUCCUCCGCGCGCCGCCCCAGCUCCCUCCCCGCCGCCGCGCCGGCACGGGGCAGGUGCUGCCUCUGCUCGCCGUCGCGCGCCGGCGCCCACAGAGACGGCAGCCGCCCCCACCCGCCCUCGCGCCCGUUGUCGCUCACGUUGUCCAUCCCACCCGCUCGAUCCUCAGCUGGUCUGCACUCUGUACCCCGCUCUCAACACGCGCAUUCUGAGGUCUGGGCAGAGCUUGGCCUCCUCCUGUGCAGCCUCGCUCUUAUAAGCAGCAGCGCAUGGGCAGCAGCAGCGAGGAAAAAAUAUCGGGUGCUUUGAACGAAGCUCUGUGUAUGAUUGAGGCGAGCAUGUGGCCAGGAGCAUCCCGAUGAUCGGGCCGGAUUUUUCUGUUCCCUCGGCGGUGCGGCGCGGCAUCGGGAUCUUUCC